CGUGAAGAGGAUGUUUGAAAUAAAUGGCUAAAAUGGGGAUAGAAAAUUCUGGAGAAAGGUGGGGACUUAUUUGAAGGAUUGAUCGAGGAGGUGGAUAUUUUUUGUCAUCUUGUUUCUCCACCCCAGCAAAAAAAACCUUCCCAUAUGAAUAAUUCUCCGGGCUGGGUCUUGCGAUGCUUCCGUACAGCGCCUGCUGGCCCUGCGGGGGCUCUAUCGUGUCCCUUAGCUAUCAGACUUGCGCACGCGCGAAUAUAUGCGAGUCUCCGAAUUUGGCGAUGCAAG
rnacentral:sRNA from 1 species